CAUUUCAGAGGUUGGAAAAGUGAGGUCCAGAGAGGCUUAGCUGGCUGAGUGUGACUGAGAAGAAAAGGCUUGGGGCUGCAAACUCCACAGAGAUAAAGGAGUCUGAAGCACUCUGCAAGAAGUCCUUCCACUCUGCUGGCGAAAGUAGAGAGGAAAUGAGAAUGGGCCUAGCUGAGCUCACCUUCCUCUCUCCCCACCAAGGCAUCAGGGAUGUGAGUGAAGCCAUCCUGGACCCUUCAGGCCAGAUCAGCUGUCUGGCGAAUAUCAACAAGUGACUUGAAUGAAUGACAGUGUCAUGUUGAGCAGAAGAACAGUGUCAUGUUGAGCAGUGCCACGUUGAGCAGAACUGCCCAGUUGGUCUCUGCCUGAAUUCCUGACCCACAAGAUUAUGAUCUAUAAUAAAAUGCUUAUUGUUUCAAUCCAUCAAAUAUUUGUUCUAAACAAUAGAAAACCAGAACCACAGCCCUCAAUAAAUCUUUCUUGAACUGAACUGACCAAAAUGCCCCAGCAUUUGGGAAUUUUUGGUUAUGACAUUUGUACAGAUAUUCUCCCUCCUCAGCU
rnacentral:lncRNA from 10 species